GACGAACGCUGGCGGCGUGCUUAACACAUGCAAGUCGAACGGAAAGGCCCUGCUUUUGUGGGGUGCUCGAGUGGCGAACGGGUGAGUAACACGUGAGUAACCUGCCCUUGACUUUGGGAUAACUUCAGGAAACUGGGGCUAAUACCGGAUAGGAGCUCCUGCUGCAUGGUGGGGGUUGGAAAGUUUCGGCGGGUGGGGAUGGACUCGCGGCUUAUCAGCUUGUUGGUGGGGUAGUGGCUUACCAAGGCUGUGACGGGUAGCCGGCCUGAGAGGGUGACCGGCCACAUUGGGACUGAGAUACGGCCCAGACUCCUACGGGAGGCAGCAGUGGGGAAUAUUGCACAAUGGGCGGAAGCCUGAUGCAGCAACGCCGCGUGCGGGAUGACGGCCUUCGGGUUGUAAACCGCUUUCGCCUGUGACGAAGCGUGAGUGACGGUAAUGGGUAAAGAAGCACCGGCUAACUACGUG
rnacentral:rRNA from 1 species